CCCGCGAGCAGCUGGGCUUCUGCGUGGAGGACGGCAUCAUCUGCAGCCUCCUCCGUGGUGGCAUCGCCGAGCGUGGGGGCAUCCGCGUCGGCCACCGCAUCAUUGAGAUCAAUGGGCAGAGUGUGGUGGCCACGCCACACGCCCGCAUCAUCGAGCUGCUCACCGAGGCCUAUGGCGAGGUGCAUAUCAAGACGAUGCCAGCUGCCACAUAUCGCCUCCUUACAGGCCAGGAGCAGCCCGUGUACCUGUGACCACCUCAUCCCUUGCCUGCCACUGUGCCUUCGCCUCCAUGGCCCCGGAGCCCCAUCCUGGGCCUGCCCUGGCUGGCCAGGACCCCAGCGGUUCUUGGUCCUGUAUGAUUUCCUAAUAUAAAAACAGUAAAAGCUUAUGCAUUUGGCAAAGUC
rnacentral:lncRNA from 1 species